GGCUUCGUAGUCCAGUCGGUACAGCGCUUACCGCGCUUCAGUAUGCUGUUUCUGUCGUUGGUUCGAAUCCAGCCGAAGCCC